AACGUGAGCGGGAGCUUGCACUGGUGGAUUAGUGGCGAACGGGUGAGUAACACGUGAGUAACCUGCCCCUGACUUCGGGAUAAGCCCGGGAAACUGGGUCUAAUACCGGAUAUGACUUCCUGCUGCAUGGCAGGGGGUGGAAAGAUUUAUCGGUUGGGGAUGGACUCGCGGCCUAUCAGCUUGUUGGUGAGGUAAUGGCUCACCAAGGCGACGACGGGUAGCCGGCCUGAGAGGGUGACCGGCCACACUGGGACUGAGACACGGCCCAGACUCCUACGGGAGGCAGCAGUGGGGAAUAUUGCACAAUGGGCGAAAGCCUGAUGCAGCGACGCCGCGUGAGGGAUGACGGCCUUCGGGUUGUAAACCUCUUUCAGUAGGGAAGAAGCCCCUUUUGGGGUGACGGUACUUGCAGAAGAAGCGCCGGCUAACUACGUGCCAGCAGCCGCGGUAAUACGUAGGGCGCAAGCGUUAUCCGGAAUUAUUGGGCGUAAAGAGCUCGUAGGCGGUUUGUCGCGUCUGCCGUGAAAGUCCGAGGCUCAACCUCGGAUCUGCGGUGGGUACGGGCAGACUAGAGUGAUGUAGGGGAGACUGGAAUUCCUGGUGUAGCGGUGAAAUGCGCAUAUAUCAGGACGAACACCGAUGGCGAAAGCAGGUCUCUGGGCAUUUACUGACGCUGAGGAGCGAAAGCAUGGGGAGCGAACAUGAUUACAUACCCUGGUAGUCCAUGCCGUAAACGUUGGCACUAG
rnacentral:rRNA from 1 species